rnacentral:rRNA from 1 species
UGCUAGCGGCAGGCAUAACACAUGCAAGUCGAGGGGUAGAAGCAGCUUGCUGCUUUGAGACCGGCGCACGGGUGCGUAACGCGUAUGCAAUCUGCCUCUCACAGGGGGAUAGCCCGGAGAAAUUCGGAUUAAUACCCCAUGGUAUAAUGAUGUGGCCUCACAUUAUUAUUAAAGAUUUAUCGGUGAGAGAUGAGCAUGCGUCCCAUUAGCUAGUUGGUGUGGUAACGGCACACCAAGGCUACGAUGGGUAGGGGUCCUGAGAGGGAGAUCCCCCACACUGGUACUGAGACACGGACCAGACUCCUACGGGAGGCAGCAGUGAGGAAUAUUGGUCAAUGGGCGCAAGCCUGAACCAGCCAUGCCGCGUGCAGGAUGAAGGUCCUAUGGAUUGUAAACUGCUUUUAUACGGGAAGAAACCCCUCCACGUGUGGAGGAUUGACGGUACCGUAAGAAUAAGGAUCGGCUAACUCCGUGCCAGCAGCCGCGGUAAUACGGAGGAUCCAAGCGUUAUCCGGAAUCAUUGGGUUUAAAGGGUCCGUAGGCGGCCUUGUAAGUCAGUGGUGAAAUCUCACGGCUCAACCGUGAAAUGGCCAUUGAUACUGCAGGGCUUGAAUUAUCGGGAAGCAGCUAGAAUAUGUAGUGUAGCGGUGAAAUGCUUAGAUAUUACAUGGAAUACCGAUUGCGAAGGCAGGCUGCUACCGGUGGAUUGACGCUGAUGGACGAAAGCGUGGGGAGCGAACAGGAUUAGAUACCCUGGUAGUCCACGCCGUAAACGAUGGAUACUAGCUGUUGGGGCGCAAGCUUCAGUGGCUAAGCGAAAGUGAUAAGUAUCCCACCUGGGGAGUACGAACGCAAGUUUGAAACUCAAAUGAAUUGACGGAAGGGCGAAUUCCAGC